rnacentral:rRNA from 1 species
GACGAACGCUGGCGGCGCGCUUAACACAUGCAAGUCGAACGGAGGGCUUCGGCCCUCAGUGGCGAACGGGUGCGUAACACGCGAGCAAUCUGCCUGUGGAUGGGGGAUAACCAGGGGAAACCCUGGCUAAUACCGCAUGAGGUCUCCGGGUCGAGUGGCCUGGGGAUGAAAGCUCCUUUCGGGGAGUGUCUGCAGAGGAGCUCGCGGCGUAUCAGCUAGCUGGUGGGGUAACGGCCUACCAGGGCGACGACGCGUAGCCGAUCUGAGAGGAUGAUCGGCCACAUUGGGACUGAGAUACGGCCCAGACUCCUACGGGAGGCAGCAGUGGGGAAUCUUGCGCAAUGGGCGAAAGCCUGACGCAGCGACGCCGCGUGCGGGAUGACGCUUUUCGGAGUGUAAACCGCUGUCAGAGGGGAAGAAACCCGGGGGGAGGAAAUGCCUUCUGGUUGACGGUACCCUCAGAGGAAGCACCGGCUAACUCUGUGCCAGCCGCCGCGGUAA